GACGUAGGGCGCAAGCGUUGUCCGGAUUUAUUGGGCGUAAAGAGCUCGUAGGCGGCUCAUCGCGUCUGCCGUGAAAACCCGCAGCUCAACUGCGGGCUUGCGGUUGAUACGGGUGGGCUGGAGUUCGGUAGGGGAGACUGGAAUUCCUGGUGUAGCGGUGAAAUGCGUAGAUAUCGUAAGGAAGACCAGUGGCGAAGGCGGGUCUCUGGACAGUUCCUGACGCUGAGGCACGAAGGUCAGGGGAGCAAACGGG
rnacentral:rRNA from 1 species